rnacentral:misc_RNA from 1 species
UCUCCGUAGGUGAACCUGCGGAGGGAUCAUUACAAGUGACCCCGGUCUUACCACCGGGAUGUUCAUAACCCUUUGUUGUCCGACCCUGUUGCCUCCGGGGCGACCCUGCCUUCGGGCGGGGGCUCCGGGUGGACACUUCAAACUCUUGCGUAACUUUGCAGUCUGAGUAAACUUAAUUAAUAAAUUAAAACUUUUAACAACGGAUCUCUUGGUUCUG